UCUCUUCUCUUAUUAUUAGGGUUCGACUUCUUCUUCUUGGUUGGAGUUCAAUAAUCGUCGAUCUUUAUACACACAAUGAUGAUGAUGAUAAUGGUUAUCAGAACUCUCUCUUCUUUUAUCUUUCUUCACUUAUUCUCUCUCUCGUUUUCCCUUUAUUCCGAAGAACCCUGAGCUCUACUAGCCAAAUGUGUUUCAAUCCCACAGAUCGUAGCAAAAUCAUUACCAAAAGGUAUUUCUUUGAAGUGUUCGCAAAGAGAGGGUUUCAGAAGAACAAAGUAUCUUUAAGAUAUGAAUCCCUUGCUCGGGCUCAGUGUCAUAAAAUCGAUAUUACUCUGGGGAAUAUGUGAUUGUUGUUCCAGGAGGUGUGUUUUAGAGUGAAGAAUUGCUGGAGGAACUUGCAGCAGCAUGUACUUGGAUCUGCUAGGAAUACCUCACACACCUGAAAAUGUUGAACGAAGAAUGGGAGUAAUUUUGUGUUGCGUGAAUUACUCAGGCAAGACCUUGGUAUUGAAAGUUCUUGUAGAGUGCAAGACUGGUCAUGCUUUCUGAGUCAAGCUCUGAUUAAGUUCAUGUGCACUAGAACUAUUGAUCUUAUUCAAUGGGAAGAUAUUUGUUUUAUGCAAAACUCAAAAUUUCCUUGAAUCACAGAAUCAAAGAGGUGUAAUCGAUUUCAAUUUUUUCUCCAUCAACAUGACUGCUAAUGUUGUUGGAUUUUCAAGCAAGCGGACAGAUCUAGUAUGUACUUAACUUACAACU